rnacentral:rRNA from 1 species
AUUGAACGCUGGCGGCAGGCCUAACACAUGCAAGUUGAGCGGAGCGUCGGACGGGUGAGUAAUGCCUAGGCAUCAACCUGGUAGUGGGGGAUAACGUCCGGAAACGGGCGCUAAUACCGCAUACUAGCAGAGGAGCCUAGGUCGGAUUAGCUAGUUGGUGGGGUAAAGGACUACCAAGGGGACGAUCCGUAACUGGUCUGAGAGGAUGAUCAGUCACACUGGAACUGAGACACGGUACAGACUCCGACGGGAGGCAGCAUUGGGGAAUAUUGGACAAUGGGCGAGAGCCUGAUCCAGCCAUGCCGCGUGUGUGAAGAAGGUCUUCGGAUUGUAAAGCACUUUAAGUUGUGAGGCGUUACCAACAGAAUAAGCACCGGCUGACUUCGUGCCAGCAGCUGCGGUAAUAC